UGCAGGAGUGAGCCUGCUCGCGAUUGCGGUAUCACAUUCACCAUUUUAGUUGGCUGACGGAUAGCUAUCGCGAGCAGGCUCACUCCUACA
rnacentral:misc_RNA from 1 species